rnacentral:rRNA from 1 species
GAUGAACGCUAGCGGGAGGCCUAACACAUGCAAGCCGAGCGGUAUUGUUUCUUCGGAAAUGAGAGAGCGGCGUACGGGUGCGGAACACGUGUGCAACCUGCCUUUAUCUGGGGGAUAGCCUUUCGAAAGGAAGAUUAAUACUCCAUAACAUAUUGAUUGGCAUCAAUUAAUAUUGAAAGCUCCGGCGGAUAGAGAUGGGCACGCGCAAGAUUAGCUAGUUGGUGAGGUAACGGCUCACCAAGGCGAUGAUCUUUAGGGGGCCUGAGAGGGUGAUCCCCCACACUGGUACUGAGACACGGACCAGACUCCUACGGGAGGCAGCAGUGAGGAAUAUUGGUCAACGGGUGCAAGCCUGAACCAGCCAUCCCGCGUGAAGGACGACUGCCCUAUGGGUUGUAAACUUCUUUUGUAUAGGGAUAAACCUACCCUCGUGAGGGUAGCUGAAGGUACUAUACGAAUAAGCACCGGCUAACUCCGUGCCAGCAGCCGCGGUAAUACGGAGGGUGCAAGCGUUAUCCGGAUUUAUUGGGUUUAAAGGGUCCGUAGGCGGACUUAUAAGUCAGUGGUGAAAGCCUGUCGCUUAACGAUAGAACUGCCAUUGAUACUGUAAGUCUUGAGUAUAUUUGAGGUAGCUGGAAUAAGUAGUGUAGCGGUGAAAUGCAUAGAUAUUACUUAGAACACCAAUUGCGAAGGCAGGUUACCAAGAUAUAACUGACGCUGAGGGACGAAAGCGUGGGGAGCGAACAGGAUUAGAUACCCUGGUAGUCCACGCCGUAAACGAUGCUAACUCGUUUUUGGGCUUUAGGGUUCAGAGACCAAGCGAAAGUGAUAAGUUAGCCACCUGGGGAGUACGCUCGCAAGAGUGAGACUCAAAGGAAUUGACGGGGGCCUGCACAAGCGGUGGAUUAUGUGGUUUAAUUCGAUGAUACGCGAGGAACCUUACCAAGACUUAAAUGGGAAUUGACAGCUUUAGAAAUAGAGCUUUCUUCGGACAAUUUUCAAGGUGCUGCAUGGUUGUCGUCAGCUCGUGCCGUGAGGUGUUAGGUUAAGUCCUGCAACGAGCGCAACCCCUGUCACUAGUUGCCAUCAUUCAGUUGGGGACUCUAGUGAGACUGCCUACGCAAGUAGAGAGGAAGGUGGGGAUGACGUCAAAUCAUCACGGCCCUUACGUCUUGGGCCACACACGUAAUACAAUGGCCGGUACAGAGGGCAGCUACACAGCGAUGUGAUGCAAAUCUCGAAAGCCGGUCUCAGUUCGGAUUGGAGUCUGCAACUCGACUCUAUGAAGCUGGAAUCGCUAGUAAUCGCGCAUCAGCCAUGGCGCGGUGAAUACGUUCCCGGGCCU